UGAGGAAUAUUGCGCAAUGGACGAAAGUCCGACGCAGCCAUGCCGCGUGCAGGAUGACAGCCCUAUGGGUUGUAAACUGCUUCUCUGCUUUAAGAACCAGCCUUACGUGUAAGGCCUUGACGGUACAGCAGGAAUAAGCAUCGGCUAACUCCGUGCCAGCAGCCGCGGUAAUACGGAGGAUGCAAGCGUUAUCCGGAUUCAUUGGGUUUAAAGCGUGCGCAGGCGGAUGGGUAAGUCAGAGGUGAAAGCCUGCAGCUUAACUGUGGAAUUGCCUUUGAUACUGUCCAUCUUGAGUCCAGCUGAAGUAGGCGGAAUGUAGUAUGUAGCGGUGAAAUGCUUAGAUAUACUACAGAACACCCAUUGCGAAGGCAGCUUACUAAACUGGUACUGACGCUCAGGCACGAAAGCGUGGGGAGCAAACAGGAUUAGGUACCCUGGUAGUCCACGCCGUAAACGUUGAUCACUCGUUGUUGGCAAUACACCGUCAGCAACCCAGCUAACGCCGUAAGUGAUCCACCUGGGGAGUACGAUCGCAAGGUUG
rnacentral:rRNA from 1 species